GAUGAACGCUGGCGGCGUGCCUAAUACAUGCAAGUAGAACGCUGAAGGAGGAGCUUGCUCUUCUGGAUGAGUUGCGAACGGGUGAGUAACGCGUAGGUAACCUGCCUGGUAGCGGGGGAUAACUAUUGGAAACGAUAGCUAAUACCGCAUGACAACAGUUAUUGCAUGAUAACUGUUUAAAAGGGGCAACUGCUCCACUACCAGAUGGACCUGCGUUGUAUUAGCUAGUUGGUGAGGUAACGGCUCACCAAGGCGACGAUACAUAGCCGACCUGAGAGGGUGAGCGGCCACACUGGGAAUGAGACACGGCCCAGACUCCUACGGGAGGCAGCAGUAGGGAAUCUGCGGCAAUGGACGGAAGUCUGACCGAGCAACGCCGCGUGAGUGAAGAAGGUUUUCGGAUCGUAAAGCUCGGUUGUAAGAGAAGAACGAGUGUGAGAAUGGAAAGUUCACACUGUGACGGUAUCUUACCAGAAAGGGACGGCUAACUACGUG
rnacentral:rRNA from 1 species